UACGGGGGGGGUAAGCGUUGUUCGGAAUUACUGGGCGUAAAGGGCUCGUAGGCGGCCAACUAAGUCAUACGUGAAAUCCCUCAGCUUAACUGGGGAACUGCGUGUGAUACUGGAUGGUUUGGAUUUGGGAGAGGGAUGCGGAAUUCCAGGUGUAGCGGUGAAAUGCGUAGAUAUCUGGAGGAACACCGGUGGCGAAGGCGGCAUCCUGGACCAAUAUUGACGCUGAGGAGCGAAAGCUAGGGGAGCAAACGGG
rnacentral:rRNA from 1 species